CCCGGUAGCUACUACCUAAUUAAAAUGGUGCGGAGAAAAGAAUUAUUUCGAACUACCUUAGUUGCCCUAGUUUGCUUACUUCUAAUAGCUUUGUAUCAGAAGAAUCCGAGUCCGCUGAUUCGUUCGCGUCCCGCAACCUUUCAAGCAAUACAAAUUGAGGACGAUCAACCGCUUGAAGAGCACUCACUUAAAGAAGUUAUUAUCAAUGCACAAAGAAGUCGACUGAGAAAAGAACUAUACGACUUUAAAUUUCCAUCCAACCGACCACUAGCUAAUUUUGCAAUGGAAGAUGGAGGGCAACCGAUCAGAACGAUCAUUUUCAGUACAUGGAGGUCAGGGUCUACAUUUCUGGGUGAUGUUCUUAAUGCUCUGCCAGGGAAUUACUACCAUUAUGAACCACUGAUGGAUUAUGGAAUCAUACAAAUUCGAGGCCCACCAGACGCGGAUUCAGCUCUAACUAGAUUGAAAAGUUUGCUCAAUUGUGAUUACACAAAUUUGUACAAUUAGAGGUUGGUCUUGGAGUUGGUUUUGGUAGUUAGGGGGGUACUACCCACAAGAAGUACCUGGCAUCCCGUCACGGGGCAAACCCCCACGUUUUCCAGUAAAUUUUGUGCGUUGUGUUGGACGGACAGGGUCGCGAGUCCCAUUGCGGCAGGGAGACUCCGGAAAUGCCCUCCGCUCGCAACUCGAGCGAUUGUCACAAUCGACAGCAAGGACCACCCGUCAUCGAAUUCAACUUACUACCGAUAAUUUAAUUUUUCGUUUCAGAAACGUAUAUUAAAAUCCCGCAAAGUUUUAGUUACCUGCACUAUAUGUUUCAGAAAUGUUUAUGUAACUGCAAAUGUUCGCCCUCAGAAACGUUUCACUGAAACGUCUCGCUGAAACAUUGCAGAAACGUUUCGUUAAAAUGUUACUGAAGCGUUCCGCCAGACGUUAUUUAAACGUUGAAAAUAAAUAUUCAGUAACAUUAUACAUGGUAAUCUUUGAAGAUUGCAAAUAUUUUAAUUGGUGGUACAUUUUGGCCCUAGAAGCAGAACUUUUCAGUCCACUUUAUUCAUAACUUAAUUGUUACAAGGUACUAUAUUCCACAUAAAGUCUAGUCCAGUCUUAAAGUAUAAAUAAAAUACUAGCUAUUUACACGCCUUAAAAUUAAUUAAUAAUGUUUAAACAGUCGAGAGUGCGCAUAGCAACUGGUUCAACAGUUCUGUACGAUCUCACAGAAAGGACCUACGCCUCUCGGCAGCCCACCCAGCCGAAGUCUUAGGGUCGUUUUUGCACCACUCCCAGCCAAACCACCAUUCCCCGUAAUCGGGGAUUGGAGAUCGAUGAGAUUCUGACAGCUGUAGAACCUGUAUAACCUUAACACAUAUCUUAACCUAUAUGCCCAUAUCACCUACUUCCUAACAUUAGAACGUGCCUCGCGGUGCUGUCGAAAAGCGGCCUAGGCAGCCACAGGGGAGAGGCAGGGCUACGACCGAACCGCCUCUCCAUCCGGCGCCAGGCACUCAACCACACACAGAAUCGCAGAUUUUCCCCGUCCAUCUAGUCAAAGUCAUCGUCGCUGACGAUGAUUUCAGCAUACUCUACAAACAUACUAACCAUACUCCCAUCUCUCCUCCCAUCCAUGCCUCUCAAGUGCCAGCAGGAAUUCCCCGGAGCUAAACUCUCACGUGCAGCCUCCCUGACUGAUUUCACACACACCGCCCUGGCGUGUCGAGCCGUCUGAGCACCCAGACCACAUUCACACUCACCACAGCCCCUUAUUGUAAACCUGUGAAGAGCAACUUGGGUUCAAGCACCACGCCAGGAUACUUCACCAUCGUGGAUGGUACUACCCUAAGCUCCUCAGUGUUAAGCACAGGAGGCCGGAUGUUGCCUUUAGCAGGCAGGAACAGCGUCUCGAUCUGUCCAGCGCUAUACUCCACGGCCGCACCGCCAGCCCAUAUUUUCAGUUCCUCCCAGACCAACCGAAACAUCAUUUCAAUCUUCCUUGCUGACUCGGCCUUAAGCAGCACCACCUAAUCAUCCGCAUAAGCCUGGGUCGUCAGCAUCCUCACCCCUGCAUUUAUACCUGUCACGUCUCUUCCAUCCCUCUCCACACACAUUCUCUCUAUCCUAUCGACCGCGACUGGAACCAUCCCUCCAUGACCAUGAGCCGUAGAGUGGGGCCUAGACUCGAUCCCUGCGGACAGCCUUUCCCAAUCUUACACCUCACCCUUCCACUCUGUACCACUCUACCCCGCAAAAAGCUCCAGCACAUUCUCACCAAACCACUGUCAACCCCGGCCCUUUCAAGCUCCUGGACCACAACCGGGGCCCACGCCAUGUUGAAGGUUGAUUAUAUCCAGCAACAUCAACAACUGGUGUUUGCCCGCUUUUCUACUAAGCUUAUGGACCUAACCCCGCCGGAGCCCUUCGGUAGCCAUACAAUCCUGGCGCACUUCCAGACAAGUGGAAAGUAUGGCAUUCUCAGACACUCCCCAUACAUGUUUUUCACACUCUUCUCUCCCACCCGACAACCUUCCAAAAACUCACCGACAUACCAUCCGCCCCUGCAGCCUUGUUAUUCAUCAUCCGCCCCACCGCAUCACUACCCUCCUCGUCUCCCAAUUUAUCACACCAAUCCAUCCUCCGCUCCCAAUAUUUCAUCCAAACCUUCCAGCUCAUUCCUUUCACUCACACUCAGCUCUGUAUGGUACUUCCACACCAAGAAGGACCAGACAGACACCAGCUGCCCAUUAUCAUCGACUAUAAGAGUUUGCUUUGCGGGUCCCUUCUCUUUCAUGACCCUCCACACUUUGUCUCACGGGCUAACCUCGCACACACUCUCAAUCUCUCUUUUAACCCACUUCAUUUUUCCUUGAUCAGUUUCUUGAAGAUGCGCCUCUCCGCCCUGUACGCAUUGAGUCGCUCGA